AAUAAAACGAACAAUCCAAUAUGUUUUGAAAAGUCAACAGCGUCAAAUAUUUAGAGACGGAGCGAAUACUAUCUAAAAUAACUUUCCCCUCCCGUCUCUCUCGGUGCCUCCUCUGAGAGGUGACUUUCAGUGCGACGUAGAGUUUUCCCCUCCGGAUUCCCUCUCCGUCUCCGGUGGUCUUUGGCCGCCGGCGAGGGGAUGAGGGGUCCGAGGGAUAGUCGGGCUCAUCCCGUAGUCAGGUCGGAGUUCUCCAGAUCCACAUAGGAGAGGUUGCGCCGGCUGUUCAAGAAUUCUCCAGCAAGAAAAUACACAAGAAUGGUGUUCUUCUCCUUCGGCAUCGAUGUCGGAUUUACAAGGGGCGGCUGUGAUUUAUUUGUUUGGCCAAGGUAGCUUCAACCUCCAUCACGGAGGUCCCGACUGGGUUUGCUCCUCGGCUCAAUCAUUUGUAGCUUGCCAUGCUAUCAUCUCCGUCGUUGUGGGCAGUGGGCACAAGUUGGAUCAUUGCUCUUGUGAAAGAGGCAGAUGAAGGACCCGAUUGCCUUUUCCUUUUCUUUUCAAGUCCUUUUCUGCAAUCUGCAUGUUCUAAAGUUAAUUUGCUCAUCUUACAGGGUACUUUCCGCAAACUGGAUCUACUCCCAGUUCCUAUGUUCCCUCGUGUACCAUGUACUUAAGCUCACUAGAAGAGUAUAAGUGCAUGCUGGGACACGCCGCGCACAGAAAUUGGCUCGAACAAAAUUACCAUGAAGCACAAGCACAUGCUAAAUAUUGUUGACUGAAUGUUUCUAGUUUCACUUAACCAUAGCCAUGGGACUUGUAAAUUGGAAUUAGAAUCAUUUAGGUCAAUAUACAUGGAAAACCAUGAUUUCAAACAGUUAUAAUACUAAAUUAUCAUGUGUUAACCUUUUUAGACUCA